ACGAGGGGAGGGGAGGGGAUUUUAUUUAUUUAUUUAUUUAAAUCUAUAAAAUCAUCAAAUUAAUAGUGAAUUUUAUUUUGCUUACCCAGCGAGGACCGCUGCUGGCUCCCCGAAGACCUUGUGGUUAGAGGGGCGGCCGCGGCGGAGGUCGUCGUCAUCCAUGCAAGGGAGGUCGUCGUGGAUCAGGGACAUGGCGUGGAUCAUCUCCAGCGCGCAGGCCGAUGGCAUGGCCGCCGCGUCUUCGCCGCCGACGAGGCGGCACGCCGCCAGGCAGACGAUGGGGCAGACGCGCUUGCCGCCGGAGAGGAGGGAGUAGCGC
rnacentral:lncRNA from 1 species